ACAAAUCGAAGAGGUGCAGCCAACACAAGUAGGGUAAUGGAGCCACUGUCGGGCAGUGAGGUUACCUCAACAGGGCGGUUGCCGAAGUGCUUGACUUGACAGGAGCCAGGUUAACUGGGGCGUGGUUGAAUAAGCUACGGACUGUCGCAGGACGAAUAUCAGCCUGCGUUGCGCUAUCGACAAAU
rnacentral:ncRNA from 2 species